rnacentral:rRNA from 1 species
UACGGAGGGCGCAAUCGUUGUUCGGAAUUACUGGGCGUAAAGCGCGUGUAGGUGGCUUGGAAAGUCGGGUGUGAAAUCCCGGAGCUCAACUCCGGAACUGCAUCCGAUACUGCCAAGCUCGAGUCUCGGAGAGGAUGGCGGAAUUUCCGGUGUAGAGGUGAAAUUCGUAGAUAUCGGAAGGAACACCAGUGGCGAAGGCGGCCGUCUGGACGAUGACUGACACUGAGGCGCGAAAGCGUGGGGAGCAAACAGG